AGGGUUCUCUCCCAGCACCUAAUGCAGCCCUGUGUGCUUAGUGAGUGAUCACUCAAUUAGUGUUUACAAAGUAAAUCAAUUAAUUGGUUUUCUGCUUAAGGUGGUUAUUUGAAUAGGUGGUAAUUGAAAGGUGAUAACAUUUUUAAGUGAACAGAUAAUAGCUCUAUCUAAAACUGAACAUGGGAGCAAGUAUAAAAUAGUAGGAAAUAUUUUUCAAAAGGUCAUUUUAUGAACAUGGAAAAUUGCUCUACUAAUCAAGAAAGAUAGCAGUUAAAGCAUAGCUGCAGGUCAAAUACAGGUUACAGAGGUGUUCUAUAGAGUGAUCCAUGAUUUCCUCAUCUUUUUAGUACAAUGAACAUAUUGUAACCAAACGUAAGCUUUUCAUCUUCCUUUAUGUGUGAAUCAUUUCCUUUCUAUAGCAGACUUAUCAGCAUACACGUCUCAUCUGCUAGAAAACAUACCCUACUUCUAAAUGUUUUCCACUGUUUAUUGAGCUUAUGAAUGACAUUUAUAUGUUCUUUUAGUUGUUUGUUUAAAAAAGCAUGUAAUCUGAAAUGUGGUACCCUUUGUAAUUUGACCCAAGGAAAUUCACUUCAUGGUUAAAAGAUAGGGUGCGUGAGUGUGUUGCCAAAACUACAUACAGAGGAAGAAAUUAUAUUGCCAAUUCAAAAUUAAUCAAACUUUAUCUGAAAAUUUGACAUUCUUUCUUUCUUUUCUUGAUGAUAAAGGUGUAAAAGUUGUAAGGGUGUAUGACCCUAGCAGAAGAACUACUAGGCUUUAAUAUGAUUUGGGCAUCCACCAGGUGGUGACAAAUGUCCUCUUCCUUUCUGGUUCACUAUGUGAAAUACUUUGUCAUCUGUGUAUAAUAGUGGCCAAGGAGCAGGAGAACUAUCUACCAUGUGUGAGUGUGAGAAGGUAUGUGUGUUUAGUUGCCAUUUAUUUUAUAGGUCUGCUAUAAACUGGACAUUUUACAGAUAAAGCAAAUAAGAUUCAAAGAGGCUAAGUGACUUUCCUAGGGUCAUUCAGACAGAAAUGGCUGAGUGGGGAUUCACACCCAAGAUAGUCCAUCAUCAAAGUCUAUGCCCUUUCUCCAGUCCUGAAAAAUCAACAUGUCAGGGGAGGGGGACUGAAGGUGGUGUGCAUUAAGGCUGAAACUCACAAAUUCAAAAAAACUUUGGGAAAAAUCCUUGCUAAAGAAGACCCCAAGAACCAUUCUUGUUUUAAUAUGACAGUGCCUACGCUCAUAUGAGAAGAAAAUUGAGUUUGCUGUGGUUUGAAACGAAUGCAAUCUGCCAUUAUAUUUGGCAACAAUCCUUUUAGUUAGAAAAAAUGCUUAUAUGUAUAAAUUAAAAUUUUUUUUUCAGAAAGAGUUUAUCUUAUCAGCAUUAACUAUUACCAAGUAUAACAGUGAAGGAAGAUAUUUGAAGAAAAUACUUGGAAAUAACCUAAAAUUCUCUUUCAUCAAAACAUAGUGAUACUCAGUUUCAGAUAUUUCCCCCAAAUAUGAUGUAUCUUGUCAAAUAAAUUGGCCUCAAAGGUUGAAAUGGUAAGGCCUUCCAGUACAGUCUUCUGUAGUUUAGGUGGGAAUUUGAAAUAAAAAAGAGGUUGAGAGCCAUGAGAGGCAGAAGGAGGUUUAUGCAAAAGAAUGUGAAUAGUCCUAGCAAGUGAGUGUGGAGAAAAUCUUCUGAGGAAAACGGAAGACCAUAGGCCAGGUGAAGGGAAAAGAAAUGUAUAAAAUUAAAAAUGGUUUCAUGAAAUGUAGAUGCAACAAAGGUCUUUAACAGAUAAUAUUUGCAAGCCACUACCCAAACCUUUGCUUAAACUACUGAGAAGUGAUCUGAAGCAACUAAUAAAUCAGAGUUUUUUGUUAUAGUAAAGUGCAUAAAAGUUACUGACCUUAAGUAAGGUCAGUAUAAUAAAUAAAUAAGUAAGUCCUGUAUAAUAAAGGGAUUUUUUAAUAUAUUAAUCCAGUAAAACAAUUGCACAGUUUUUAUUUGGGAAUGUUCUUGAUAGGCAUAAUCUUUCCAUUUUACUAGUUAACCCCUCCAAAAACUGUGUAUAUAAAGAAAUGUUUUAAAAAAUGUAACACCAAACUUCAGAUUUACUGCUUUCAGCAGAAUAUCUCUUCUAUUAAUUUUACUUUUAAGUAAUUAGUGUAAAAGAAUUAGUAAGUAUGUUAGCUGGGAGGCUUAUGGGAUAAUUUAGUGGAUCCUCUCCCUACAGUGACUCAAAAAAAAAAAAAAAAAAAAGACUUUUUAAGAGCCUUUGUCUCAUGAUAUAUAAUAGAAUAUUCCCCUUUCAUCUUCAGUUUUCAAGAACGACCUAUAUAAAUAUACCCUAGGAUUUCCACAAGAGAUAGACUUUUAGGCACUAGGCAGAAACAGAGUUCAGAGUUAUUUUGGACCUCCUCACAUUGUCUCUGUCUGAUCAUCUCUAGCUCAGUCUGUGUUUCAGUCUUCUGUGUCUUACUCUCCCCCAUGUUGGUCCUUCAACCCUCUACUUCCUUCCUUCCAGCUCAGCCCUAUGUCAUGGUAAUAAAGAACUAGCCAAGUUUGACUCAUGUAUUUGUGUGUUUUAGCUGAAUCAUUCGUACAAUUAUAAAAAUUAUUCAAGGCAGUAGAAUUAAACUCUCCCUCACCACUAAACCAAAGAAUAUAGUCAAAGAUUAUGUCCAUAAUGGUCCACCUAAGAUAUGACAUAAAUUAUAUGAAUUGAAGGAUAUUUAACUCAGCUUAUCUGAGGAAGGAAGAAAUUUUCAAAGUAACCUCAGUGAAAAUACAAUCCUUCUGGCCUGAUGCACACAGGUCAGAGACCUGAUACAGCCAAGACUUAUGACCAUGGAGCCUUAAAGACAGAUUGUAUCGGGGCGCCUGGGUGGCUCAGUCAGUUAAGCGGCCGACUUCGGCUCAGGUCAUGAUCUCGCGGUCCGUGGGUUCGUGCCCUGCGUCGAGCUCUGUGCUGACAGCUCAGAGCCUGGAGCCUGUUUCAGAUUCUGUGUCUCCCUCUCUCUGACCCUCCCCUGUUCAUGCUCUGUCUCUCCCUGUCUCAAAAAUAAAUAAAACGUUAAAAAAAAAUUAAAAAAAAAAAAGAUUGUAUCAUAUAAUGUCCUUGAUGAUCUUAUUCUUCCAUUUCCAUACUCUACCAUAGCACCCCCAAGAAUUCAUCGUGAUGGAAGGUUUCAUCUUUCCUCUAACUCCACCUUAACUCCCCAUGGUCCUGACAAACUUAGCAUCCUCUGUCAUAAAACCAGCUCAAACUUGAGAAUUUUCAGUCAAAAACUGAAUGGAUGGUUCUAAGAGUUUGAUCACAUUCAUGACCAACCUUUUGGUCAACUAAGAGUAUCAGUACCAGUACCAACUAAGUAGGUCUGUUACCCACUUCAUGUGACUCCUUUUGAUCAUCUUGUGACUUUGUUUUUGCAUCCAGAGACCUAUCUUAUAGGAGUUAUUGCAUGCAGUCAGGAUUUAGUGGUUCUGUAUAACUCAAGCUAAUCCAUAUCUCUUAUAAAGCCAAAUUAAUAGACUACAGAGUCACAUGCCAGGUCUUCCUGUGUGGCAAAAGUCAUCUUGGGCUGUACACUGAAUUGUUGCUUCCAAGUUUCUAGUAUUCCCCAUAGCAGGUCACAGAAAAGUGGUUAUGAUUAAGACCUUCUGCUUGUUGCACUCAUCAAAGGAUGCCAAACUAAUGGGCCAGUUCUAACUCAAGGAUGUAAAGCACAUUCCAUUUUGUGGGCCAAGUCCAGCCAAUAGAGAUAAAACUUUAGGCUCUCACAGUGUGGUAGACUAUAUGACUUGAAAGCCCUCUGCUAAAACAUGUAGCAAAUGUAAGAUAAAAUAUAGCAAGCAUUUGCUUGACUGCACAGGGGAGCUAGCAAAGAUGUUAAACUAUUGCCAAGAAAGAAAAAAGGGAGCUGAAAACCAAACCAGUAAGGGCAUAAGCCACUGCUACCCCUGAGCUUCAGGCUUGGGUCUUGGUACCCCUCUCUGGAAAAAGGUGCUCUUCUCCUUUUACCUGGGAACAACAUCCAUUUAAGUUAGUCUUGCUUUGUUUAUUUCCCAGUAGCCACGGCCAGUUGAUUUUAAACGGUUCCAUGAUUCUCAAAGACAAUUUCACCCUUGCCUCUGUGGAUACCAGUCUUCUCCAUGAAGGGUGAGGGGCUUGGCAUGUUUACAAAGCUGCCUGACCAGCUCAUCAGAUUAAAUGCAUGCUCUCUGUUCCCUCUGGGCCUACUCACCUGGCAUGUCCAUCACUCGAGCCAUGUGAGAUACCUGCUAAACAAAGAGGGGUCAUUUGUGUUUGUCCAAACCUUGUAAUGCUGGUUACACUUAGUUUUGUAAUUUCAUACUUUAAUAUUAAGGAAACAGAUGAGUGUGAAAAGAAGGAGCAGUGUUGUUUCUGUGCAACCCAAGUUCUAUGCUUUGGAAAGGAAAAAAAAAAAAUAACGUACCAAUUAAGAUGUGAGCAGAACAGCUGUAAAAGACUACACUGGGGGAAAGAAUGUAAAAAUCUAGAAGGGCCUAACACUGUAUGUUAACUAUACUAGAAUUAAAAUUAAAAUUUUAAUUUAAAAAAUCUAGAAGGGCCAUCAGACAGUAAGUUUAUGGAAAACAUAGAAAACUUCAGUCAGUCUGGUGGAUUGCUUUGUUCCUUGUUAAAACGGCAAGAAUUUAAAGACACUUGGACAGUUGCAGAGUAGUAUGGGUACAGAAUCCCGCAGACACCUGCUUGUGAGACACCACAUUCUCUAUAAAGUGCCCUUCACACAUUCUCUGUGCUGUUUCACCCCACAGCCUCAGCGAUAGGUACUGUCUAUGAGUGCAGAGGACAUUAGUAAACAAAAUAAAUGUAUCAUAAUAUAAUAAUGAAGCAGAUAGGCUUUGGGGCAGGGCAGACCUGUUUUGAAUUUUAAGUCUGCAUUUUGUUAUUUGUCCUUAGGUAAGUCAUGAAACAUCUCCAAUCCUAUUAGCUCAACAGCAAAUAGGGAUAAUAAUAAUAACUACCUUGGUCCUGAAAUUUUUGUGAGAAUUAAAUGAGAUAAUGUUUGGGGAGCACAUGGCACUAUGUCAGAUUCAACAUUAGUGUUCUGGAAAUAACAGCUGUUAAGAUUCCAUUGUUUGGCUUUUCUAAAACUUGCUCUUUGAAGACCUGUCUGGAUGGCUUUCAAAAGCCGUCUCCCUGGUUCUUUCCGAACUUGGCUGCAUUAGUGAUGUGGGAGUUGCCUAUCUUAGUUUGCUAUGGCUGGCAUAACAAAAUACUAAACGCUGCGAGGCUUAAACACCAUAAAUUUAUUUUCUCACCAUUCUGGAGGCUAGAAUCCAAAAUCAAGGUGUCAGCAGAUUUGGCUUCUUCCGAGGCCUCUCUCCUUGGCUUGCCUUCCUGCUGGGUCCUCACAUAAUCAUUCCUCUGUGUGCACACAUGCCCCUGAUGCCCCUGUGUGUCCAAAUUUCCUCUUUUUAUAAGGACACUAGUCAAAUGGGAUUAGGGCUCACCCUAAUGACCUCAUUUUAACUUAAUCACCUCUUUAAAGACCCUAUUUCCAAAUACAGUCAGUCCUCUGACUGGGGGUUGGACUUCAGCAUGAAUUUUGGAGGGGAUACAGUUCAGCCCAUAACAUUGCCACAAAUUAAUUAUUUUUGGCUGCAUUUGCAAAUAACCCUUUUAAAGAAUAAGAACCUGAAAAAAAUUAAAAAGAAUAAGAACCUGAAUAGAAACUAUGGUUGAGGGAUUUUAAGAUAUCUUCUAGCCACUGAAAUGCUAGGACUUUGCAGGAUUCUCUAUAUAUGAUCUAUAUAACAAGUUUACUUAUUAUGCCUAAAAAAUAUUUAAAAGGUUUAAGGCUUUAUAAAAUAAUAUAUAAUACUUAUAUUUAUAACUUGUAUAUAACAUUUUUAGAGUACGGUCUCUGGUAAUAGGCUAAAAAUAGUUUUUAAAGCACAUUGUUGAAAAAUGCCUGUGAGGCAUUGAGCAGGGGGUUAAGAAACAUUUAUGUGUGUACCAUAGGAAUAUAUUAAAUGAAAUAUUUAUUAACUGAGCACCUGUUCAGGUACAGCAUUAGGCCAAAGAUUAGGGGCAAACCAGAGAAGUACUUGCCCUUGAGGGGUAUUGAUCUACUUGAGAAAAUGCCAGAAAUGUCACCAAGUGAGCUCAUUUAAUUGCCAGUUAAAUUCUCAGUGUAGACACUGAGGCCUGUGUGUUCACAGUCACCUCUGAAGCCAGGAGUGAUGGUUGGCUUCCAUAAUGUGACAAAGGAAGGUGAAAAUCAGAGAAAUAGGUCCAGGGGUUUUCUCACUGCAGCGUCAGGACAAAUGGAAACAGAAAGCCCUGAGGAAGUACUGUAUAGCAGAGAGGUGGGGCAAGGGUGCUCAGAAAAGAAUCUGACUAAGAGCAGUUUCCAAGCCCACAGACCCCGCGGUUCAGACUAGGACAGUGAUGUGUUCCACCCUUUCACUAAGUUAAGUAGGAUUUUGAAACUGAGGAAUGUAUAUGCUGGUGGCACUGUUUUGGAAUGAGUAAAAAUAGGAUAGCCAUGGUUAGAAAACGUGGGAGUCAGGUACCACCAGAUACUUAGGAGAGAUCCUCACCAUGAAGUGAAAUGCAAGAAAAACCUUCAUUUACCAAAGGAAAGAGGUCUCACUUCUUUACCUCAUCCUCACCCUUAAGGAAUAUUUUACUUCGCGUAAACCAUGGUAAUGACCAAUAUGAUGGAAAUGUAACUUGAGAAAAUCCUGUUUAAUGUGUAUCUUUACUCUUCUAGGCCUCUUUUUCGUGGAAGUUCAGACGUUGAUCAACUUGGAAAAAUCUUGGAUGUAAUUGGACUCCCAGGAGAAGAAGACUGGCCCAGAGAUGUCGCCCUUCCCAGACAGGCUUUUCACUCAAAAUCUCCUCAACCAAUUGAGAAGUUCGUAACAGAUAUUGAUGAACAAGGCAAAGACCUACUCCUGAAGUGCCUAACCUUUAAUCCGGCCAAAAGAAUAUCUGCCUACAGUGCCCUGUCUCACCCCUACUUCCAUGAUCUGGAGAGGUGCAAGGAGAAUCUGGAUUCCCGUCUGCCUCCCAGCCAGAACAGCUCAGAGAUGAAUACAGCCUGAGGUCCCGACGGCCAUCUUGAGCUGAUCAGCGGGAGAACACCCCUGGGGGCUGAUGGGCCCCCCCUGAGUAAGCCCCGCAGAGCCACUGAGGAUCACUGGCUGGGGACCUUCUAGUUGCCGUCGUCUGGACGGGCUCUGCUUCUCCAUGGAAACCGCCUAGUUUACUGUUUUGAAAUCAAUGCAAGAGCGAUUGCAGCUUUAUGUUCAUUCGUUUGUUUGUUUGUUUGUUUGUCUGUUUGUUUGUUUCAAGAACCUGGAAAAAUUCCAGAAGAGAAGCUGCUGACCAAUUGUGCUGCCAUUUCAUUUUUCUAAUCUUGAAUGCUGCCAGUGUGGAGUGAGCAAUCCAGGCACAGCUGAGUUAUGAUGUAAUCUCUCUGCAGCUGCCUGAGCCUGCUUUGGUACUUUUGAGUGAGAGUGUGCACGCGCGUGUGCAUGCGCAUGCAUGCGUGCGUAUGUGUGUGCGGGAGAUUCUUGAUUUCUUAAAGUGUUACUUUCUGUAAACAACAAGAAUAAUUGAAUUUUAAAGACUCAAAGUGACCUAUAAAUAACAGGUGUCUAUUGACUAAAGGUGAUUUACCAGAAUGGGCUUCUCAAAUUACACAGUUGAACCUAUGUCCUCAGAAUUUCUUUUAUGGCCAAAAACAGUAAAUUUGUUAGAAGUAAAACAUUCACUAUCUAGAUGAAGUUUUAUACACACAACAAAAAGAAAAAAAAUGCUAGUAUCUUUUAAGAGACCUGUUUUUUAAAGCAUACACUCUCUUUACUCUUGAUAAAAGCUGAAAAUUACUCACUGUAAGUCCAUUUUAACCUGUAUUAUAUGCUUUGUUAUUUCUUUUGAAAAACACCCUAUAAGCUUUUUCUUACUUGCUAUAGAUUUAGGGAGUGUACCUCAAAUAGGUAAAAUGGUCAAAAAAAAAAAAAAAACAAUUAGAGAAAGCCUUUAUUUCCUGAUUUGAAAUCUGUUUCCUUUUUGGAUUCUGUUGUUACUUUAUUUUGUUUUUUUGAUUUUAGGAAUUUGUCAGAAACUGUUUCCUGUUUUGACUCAGAGAAUAGCUUUCUCUGACGAGACAGGAAUACCAUUUAAGUUUUCCCUAUUACACUGUACUUUUUCUGCCAUGCACUGCCUUGUUUGCAGAGUUUCCAUCUUAUCUCCUAGGGCCUCUAGUAUAUAUUACUACCAUUACAUAACUAAUAACAGAUUGUUUAAGCCGUUCCCAUGCACCUCCUGCUUGCUUUCUUUCAGUGAACCUUUUGUAAAUAGUUAGAUUCAGAUUGUGGCUUAAUGGAUCCAAUUUUUCAGCCCUAACAGGGUCCCCUAGGCUCUCACUCCAGUGUGAUCUUCCCAGCCAGCAUUUGUUGUUGUUCCCUAGCCAGUGAGUGGAGGAUUGGCUCUUCUCUAUCACCAGCACAUAGAUUGCCUUAAACUGUUACUUAGUGUUUUACAAUUUUUUUAGAAGAUGUCCGUGUAGAAUCGGAGAGAAUGUCUUUAACUAUUUUUUUUUAGACGUAUAUAUUUACCCUAUAAAAUGAUCUUUUCUCCAUCUCCCAGGCUGUGCUUAUUUCCAGUGCCUGUGCAUACUCCCUCUCCGUGCAGAGCCAGCCUGACCUGGGCAUUGUGAACAGCUUUACUUUUUCUCUCGCCAUUUUCUCUACCGUUCUUUAUAUUUCAUGUCAUCUCUGCCUUAUGUGUGGUUAGUACUCAGUUAGCUCAAGUAACCCGAAGACGCAGAGAUGAAGUAUCCUUUUGGAAGUUUAGCUGUCUUUGCUCUCUGACUCAUGUUUUGAGUACAUGCAACAGAUAGGCUAUGUUUAGAGUUAGGGUUGUCAAAGAAUGAACAUCGCUUCACUCAGUAGAAAAUGUUCCAGUUGAUGUUUAUAUAUUGUCUAGCCUUACUGAAUUCUUCACAGCUUAAUAUUCUAUACUACCAUGAUGAACAAGGGAAAAAUUAAGACUUUUCUCCUUGAAAGCUUUUUGGGUUGGAAAUUACUCUUUUUUUAAUAUGUAUAUUGUUUAACAUUUUUCUAAUUCAGUAACUUGAAGAGCAGGAAAAUUGGUCUAAAGCUAGAUAUGAAUGAGAAGAUGGGCCACAAGAAUGUUUGAUGCUUUCUUCCUUGUUGACAAUAUUGCUUAUGUUUUGUCAUCACUGUAAAUGCUUGAGAUAUAAUGAAUCCAUAGCAGUCGGGGCAAUGUCUCCCCUGGAAAAGUGAUUUCUGCCUUUCCUUUGAAGACAUUUUUUGCUGGGCCCUAGAAAUUCAAUUUUAAAACUCAAUAUAAGUACUGAUUUCAUCAUGUGCUUUCUGGUUAGUAUCCAUGGCUAGAGUGAACAUAAGUUGAGUUUCUGCUUUUUUCAGGUUUUCAGAAGUUCUCUCAAGAAAAAUGCAGCCGUUCUGAACUGGAAUUUUUCAGCAUUCUUGGGAAUUCUAAACAAGCAGAGAGCUCCACUUUAUUUCUAGCAUAUACUUUUGGUUCAUUUCUCAGUAGUGUUUAUGAAGAAAACUUAAAGCACAAACAUUUUGGCAUGAGAUUCAUUAGAUGCUUGGCAAAUUAUCCCCUGAGAGGCAGAAGGAGAGGGUAUCUGGCCUCUCUGACCCCAGCUCUUCCAUCUGUGUGGUUCUUGCAGUUGAGUAAUUACCCUCGUUUUAUGUCUUUUACAUCCAGGCUCACCAGUUCUGAUAUCCAGAUGCCACACGAGCCCCCUUCCCAUUAGGGCACUUUGAAGCAUAUAGCAGCAUAGGAAUUUACUGAAUACAGCUUAUUCUUCUGUGACAUAUGGUUUCAAACGUCUUUGCCAAAAGCCAAGCAGUGGUCAGCUAAAAAAGUCAUACUGCCCCAGGGAUAUACUGAAGCAGCUUAUAUCAAUAAAAAUACGGUGUCAGAUUCAAAAUCACAUUUAUAUUCACAUUUGAGGGCUGGUGCUAGAAUGUGCCUCAUAGUUUCUAUAUGAUAAUUGUUCUCUUAGGGCCCAGGCAUUGUGGGAACCAUAGUGCAUGGUGAAGUUGUAACAAUCCCACUUAAGAAUAAGAGAGAAACCUGUCCAUUUCAGCAUUAUAAGCUAUCAUGUGGCAAAGGUAAUAAAGCCCUAAUCUUACAAACUUAAAAACACAAUACCCAGUGCAUUGGCACCUCCCACUUUGUCUCUCCUUGAAAGUAGAUAAGAACCCAAGAAACAGAACCUGUUUUAAACAAGACUUCGGAGCCAUUUCAUCCCUCUGUAUUCUCAUGAUUUUCUCUCAGGAAUCACACACUAGGAAUGGCAUACUUUUCAUUUAGCCCAAGGUGUCUUACUAAAAUAAAAAUAGUUCAAAAUAUUUACCUAAGAAUAGAAUCUCAGCCAUUUAGUUUUAAGUAAAAAUGAAAAUUUCAGAAUGCAUGGGAUGUUAAUAUCUUAAAGAAAAUGUACACCUUUCAAUAGAAAUUUAUCAUUUGACUCCAGAACGCAGUACUGUCCAUCUUGAUGGGGGGGGGGGGUGGGAAACAACCAAAUAGUACCAAAUAUUUUGAAUCUUAAAUUAUGUAUUUAAAUUUAGCUUUUAACUAUAUGCCUCUUAAGGUCAGUAAUGGCAGUCCUCAUGCCAUUAUGGAAAUUAAAAUCAUGUAAGCUUCCUAAUAUCACAAACAUAUUAAAAUUCUUCUUUCCAAAGAAUUGCUUUUAAGUGACAACUUGGCUAUUUUUAUGAUAAGCACAGAAGAGAGUGUCUCACAUUUUCCAAAAGCAGGCUUUUGUUGCAUAGUCAGGUCUAGGAAAGAGUAAUAUUAAAAGUUAAUAAGCUGCUGUAAUUACUUAAUUGUGUUAGUACAGUAACUAUAGAAUAUUCACCCUGGAAAGAAAAUGUUGAGACAUUAUAAGUUCUUAGGUAUUGACAAAAUUCAAAAGAAUGCAUGUUUUACAUUGUGACACAUAAAAACAGUGCCUUUAUUUUAAAAAAUAAAGAUGGUAGCAUGAUUUCUAAAUCUUUAAAAGGCAUAAAAUAAUGGACAAUGGAUAGAGGAAAUUCUAGAGAAAAUGAAGGUAUUCAAAGAAGGAUAGUUUCAAAGUUAGAUAUAUUUUGAAGGAUAAAUAUUUAUUAGCAAAUAUAUUGUAAGAAUUUCUAUUAAAGUCAUCCGGCAACUAUGAAGUUGAUAACGUUCCAAAACAUGUUUUAUGGAAAAGCCUUUCCAAGCAGUUACCAUUUCAAAGGGUGACCUGAGCAAACUACCAUACUCCUUACUUCGUGGGAAGAAGCAGCCAUGUGAAACUAACGCUUGUUAUGCAAGCCUAAGAAUGUUCACUGUAAAUAAUAAUAAUAAUAAAUUUUAAAAAGGCACAUAUUUCCUGUGCCACCAAGAUUUUUUGAAAACUGGUAAAACCCAAAUCCUUGAUCAUAUGCACUUGAUACAUUCAGAUGUAUGAUAUGGAACAUAGCUACAUGUUUCCACGGUAGAAAAACUUACUGAGACUGCAAAAGCCUAUCACGCAAUAGAAGUCCCCAGGUAAUUAGUAGUGGUGUUCUCUUCAAAAGCAUACGAAAAUAGCAUUUUCAUUUCUUAUUAAUGCAAUUUUCAACCUAGUGGUGUUACAUACCUAUAUCUCAAGCAUUUCUGACUUGUACUUUUUCAGAAAAUAAGCCACAAUAUUCCUUUGGCCUUUUCUAUCUUCUGACCUUUGUAAACAACAGAAAUGUAGAAAGAGGAGGGGUCUGAUUUUUUAAAUGUUUUUUUUCCUCAGUUUGUUUGUUUGUUUUAAUGACGUACGAAUCAGCUCUUCAAAAUGUUUUGUUUCUUAGCAUUCCCAGGGAGUUGAGAUAAAUGAAUGAACUUCCA